rnacentral:rRNA from 1 species
GAUGAACGCUGGCGGCGUGCCUAAUACAUGCAAGUCGAGCGAACAGAUGAGAAGCUUGCUCCUCUGGCGUUAGCGGCGGACGGGUGAGUAACACGUGGAUAACCUACCUAUAAGACUGGGAUAACUUCGGGAAACCGGAGCUAAUACCGGAUAAUAUAUUGAACCGCAUGGUUCAAUAGUGAAAGACGGUUUUGCUGUCACUUAUAGAUGGAUCCGCGCCGCAUUAGCUAGUUGGUAAGGUAACGGCUUACCAAGGCAACGAUGCGUAGCCGACCUGAGAGGGUGAUCGGCCACACGGGAACUGAGACACGGUCCAGACUCCUACGGGAGGCAGCAGUAGGGAAUCUUCCGCAAUGGGCGAAAGCCUGACGGAGCAACGCCGCGUGAGUGAUGAAGGUCUUCGGAUCGUAAAACUCUGUUAUUAGGGAAGAACAAAUGUGUAAGUAACUAUGCACGUCUUGACGGUACCUAAUCAGAAAGCCACGGCUAACUACGUG